rnacentral:rRNA from 1 species
GACGGAGGAUGCAAGUGUUAUCCGGAAUAUCGUGGCGUAAAGCGUCUGUAGGUGGUUUAAUAAGUCAACUGUUAAAUCUUGAGGCUCAACCUCAAAAUCGCAGUCGAAACUAUUAGGCUAGAGUAUAGUAGGGGUAAAGGGAAUUUCCAGUGGAGCGGUGAAAUGCGUAGAGAUUGGAAAGAACACCGAUGGCGAAGGCACUUUACUGGGCUAUUACUAACACUCAGAGACGAAAGCUAGGGUAGCAAAUGGG